UACGGAGGAUGCAAGCGUUAUCCGGAUUUAUUGGGCGUAAAGCGUCCGCAGGUGGCUCUACAAGUCUGCUGUUAAAGCGUGGGGCUUAACUCCAUACAGGCAGUGGAAACUGUAAAGCUAGAGUCUGGUAGGGGUCACGGGAAUUCCCAGUGUAGCGGUGAAAUGCGUAGAUAUUGGGAAGAACCCCAGCGGCGAAAGCGCGGGACUGGGCCGGAACUGACACUCAUGGACGAAAGCUAGGGGAGCGAAAGGG
rnacentral:rRNA from 1 species